rnacentral:rRNA from 1 species
ACGGAGGGUGCAAGCGUUAUCCGGAUUUACUGGGUUUAAAGGGUGCGUAGGUGGGUCUGUAAGUCAGUGGUGAAAUCUCCGAGCUUAACUCGGAAACUGCCAUUGAUACUAUAGGUCUUGAAUUAUCUGGAGGUAAGCGGAAUAUGUCAUGUAGCGGUGAAAUGCUUAGAUAUGACAUAGAACACCAAUUGCGAAGGCAGCUUACUACGGAUCGAUUGACACUGAGGCACGAAAGCGUGGGGAUCAAACAGGA